rnacentral:rRNA from 1 species
AUGAUAAUACAAAAGGAAAAAGGAUGGGAAAAGCCAGAGCUCGGAUGGGCUAAGGUCAAUGUUGAUGGAAGUUUUUUGGAGGAAAGUAGGAGUGGAGCCUGGGAAGCUGUGAUUCGAGACCAUGAUGGAAGAAUUAUCUUAUCAGUUUGGGAUUAUAUACCGCGGUGCAAUGGAGCGGACUGCGCGGAAGCCAUGGCUUGCCUAGAAGGACUACGGAAGGCAAUGUCGGGGACGGAUUUACCCUUAAUCAUCGAGACGGAUUGCAGCUCGGUGACAAAGGCGCUCAUCCUCUCGUCUAUUGCUAGAUCGGAGGUUGGAACAAUUGCAAAGAAGUUUCAAGCCAUGAAAGAAAACAGAGAAGUUAGAGUUUGCAAAGUAGAUAGAAGGGACAAUAGUCCCCCCGCCCCUCCCCUCCCCUCCCCUCCCUCCGCUAGCCGCCACGUCCCCGGCCGACCCGACCACCCCUCGCCGUCGGCCGGACCGCAUCUCCCCCCCUCACCCCCACCUCCAGAUCCGCGCGCUCCCCUAGCCUCCCCCCGCCCGCCGCCGCCGGGAACUUUCUGCCGAGCUCGAUCCAUCCAGUGGCCGGCUACAGCGACCGCCCGCCGCGCGGAUCGAUCCAGCGACCAACCUGGAGCACGGCUGCUAGCCGUCCCCUCACCAGUCAACCCAAGUCGCACCACGUGCCACCAUUUCGACCAGCUCCGCCGCUGCUAUUUUUCUCCCUAUAUUCCUCCCCUCACACCGACGGCGCCCCGGCCGCUCCUCCCCGUCCGCCGCGCCCCCGGUGAGCGAGCAUAUCCGGCCUGA